UUUUUUCGCUCACAUAAGGAUUUAAUUUUUUUUUAUAUGAUAUAUGUUAGUGGACGAUGGUAUAUCCCAUGAUCCCAGGGAUCCAAAUAAUCGGUUUAGAUAUGGUUCGAAGUAUUUUAAGGACAUUUCUGGAUGGUCAGAUUUCUGACAGUGUUGAGAUGGCACCCACGAAAAAUCCCAUGCUUGAAGGGUUCAUGACGUCGUAUUUUUGUAUACCUCACAUUUUGACGUUUCAUUCAAUCAAAUUCAUUUUCGAACUUUCUAAUCUGAGAGAGCGAAGUGUCUUAGAUGACAUAGCAUCUAUAAACUUCCUUUUUCUGCCAUCUUCCAUCGAGUGCACAUCGUUUCACAUUUCAAUAAGUGAUUAGAAAAAUUGUAAUUUAUCAUUAAAAUCAAUGUGCCUUUCUGUAAAAGUGCGAAGACACUGCCUUGCCUAUUUUUAUUUUGCGACCGGACGAAUUUAUUAUUUAAUUGGGGUUGAGUACGUGGCAUAUUGGGAAUUGUGUGAAACACAUGUGGACAAAGCCCAACCAGCAACUCAACCCCAUUUCUUGGAGAGUCUGGGAAACCAAACGCUUUUUGUGCCCAAACUCCAUCAUCUUAAGUUUGAGACUGCAUCAUUUGAAACUCUGAACUUCAUUAUUUGGUGCACCUCACUCUGUCAAUUGGAACACCACACUUAAUCAAUUGAGACGCCCCGCUCCAGCACAUGGAGUACCAUCAGUCUGUCGUUUAAAGUCCACAUACCAUGAUUUGAAACACUGGUCAUCAUUAUCAGAGCAGCCCAUUUGACGACAGAUUAUGCCCUAUUGAAGACAUUGCCCAUAACGUGCCACCCACCGUCACUUUGGCAGCGUUUUGUGCCCCAAGCUUGUAUAUGAAUUUGUGAAGACUUGGCGGUGCCACUCAUUGUGAUUCUUGCGGCUAGAAGCCAUGCAAUUCUUUUUCCACACAUGGUGUGCACACUAAAGGUUCCUUACAAGGAAUAAUUUGGAGAAGAUUUAUUUAAAGCCACAUGAGUUACAUCCCCUGGUAACCUAUGAAACUCAGCCAGAAUCACCUUAAGUAAUUUAAUUGGAGCCUAACUUUUGUGGUUAAAAUUUGAAGGCUUAAUUUGAUGCCCUAAAAUCACUUUAGUCUUCUCAUGAGAUGACAUUGGCUAAGGCGCCUUGAUUACACACCCGGAAGAAGAGAAAAAAAACACACCCAAUUAAACGGAUAUGUAUCAAUAAUUUCUGUUUUAAAAUAUAUUUUUUUCUUUUAAUAAUAAGCUAAUUAAUUUUACAGAGAAUAAUUUAAUAUCCACGUAAUUUAAGUAAAUUAUGCAUUUCGGCAUCACAGCAAGUUCAGUUUCUAUCACUUUAUCAUCAACACCCUUUAUUUAAAACAGCAACAGCAACAUCGUACCCAUGUGGAGGCCUUCAACAUGUUCAUCGAUUUGUUGGUAAGUUUGUAAUUGUGAUCUUGAACUUGAACUUGAAAUUUUUAAUUAUCAUUAGUGAACAUUUGUAAGUAUGUACGUACACGUAUGUGCUUUCAUUCAUACUUGCUUUGAUGCUCUUCUUAUUUGCUCUCUGUAUGAUAGCUUACUUUGUGGAUUCUAAUUUUUUUUUUGGGGAGAGCACAAGUGACCAAUGAAUUUGUUGUUUUCUUACAAUGACUCCAAUGAGAAUUGCAAAUGUUGUUUUUCCUCCUACACUUUAGCUCCCUUGUGGUCUCUCCAUUGCAUUAGAAUGCCCAAAUAUUUUCAUUGAUCUAUUGCUAUUCAAAUUAUUCUUAAAGUAGAUACAUAUGUCUUUUUAACCCCUUCUGGGAUGUUAAAUUUGAAUUUUUAAACAAACAUUUUUUUUUUAUUAUUAAGUAAUGUUCAAAGUUAAUACUUUUCAAUUGUUCGAUGAGCAUCAGUUUAAUUUGUUAAAAAGAUAAAGAAAAAAAAAAAAACUAACAGAAUUACUUCAUUCUUAUUAGAUGUUAGGUCUUUAUUUUUAUUUCUAUAAAUUUAAUAAAUAUCAAUUAUAAUGUGCUGAAUUGAAA